GAGUCGGACCUGCCCAGUGAACGUAUUUUAACGGCCGCGGUACUCUGACCGUGCAAAGGUAGCAUAAUCAUUUGCCCUAUAAUUGAGGGCUAGUAUGAAUGGUUUGACGUGAACAAGACUGUCUCUAUGUAAUUUCUUAGAAUUUGAUUUUUAGGUGAAGAAACCUAAAUAUUAUUGAAAGACAAGAAGACCCUAUUGAGCUUUAAAUAAAUAAAUUGAAAACAAUAUAUAGCUUUAAAUGUUGAUCUAUUUAAGAUUUUGGUUGGGGCGACUAUGGAACAAAUAAAGCUUCUUUAUAAUGAAUUAGACCAACGGGUAUUGAUCCAGAAAUUUUGAUUAAUGAAAUUAGUUACCAUAGGGAUAACAGCAUAAUUCUCUUUGAGAGUUCUUAUCGAAAAGAGAGUUUGUGACCUCGAUGUUGGACUAGAAUAUCCUAAAGAUGCAGCAGUCUUUAAAGGUUGGUC
rnacentral:rRNA from 1 species